rnacentral:rRNA from 1 species
UACGAAGGGGGCUAGCGUUGCUCGGAAUCACUGGGCGUAAAGCGCACGUAGGCGGGUUGUUAAGUCGGGGGUGAAAUCCUGGAGCUCAACUCCAGAACUGCAUUCGAUACUGGCGACCUUGAGUCCGGGAGAGGUGAGUGGAACUCCGAGUGUAGAGGUGAAAUUCGUAGAUAUUCGGAAGAACACCAGUGGCGAAGGCGGCUCACUGGCCCGGUACUGACGCUGAGGUGCGAAAGCGUGGGGAGCAAACAGG